GGAGCAGACUACGUCUGUAAUAUGCGGAACCAACCUUCUCUGCACUUUACUGUAAAUGUCUGCGAGA
rfam:Trypanosoma brucei brucei strain 927/4 GTTat10.1 chromosome 10, whole genome shotgun sequence.